UGGCGGCCGCACGCGCAAGAAGAGCGCCGCGACAGUGCGCACGCGCAGAGCCUCGGCCGCCCCACUCCUCCCCCUCCCCCGCACGCCCGCCGCGCGGGAGAAGCUACGCACUCCACUGAGAGUCGCCGCGUCUGGGUGAGCGCUCCCCCCCACCCCUCCCCUUUUCUCCCGCAGUGCUUUGCGCGCGGCCGGUGGGCGGAGGGUGGGAGGGGAGGCGGCGGUGGCAGCCAUGUUGUUGUGAGUCUCUGUGCCUCGCCCUCGGUACUCGGUGGUUCGGAGGAGGAGGGGGAGGAGAAAGGGGUGGGGGGGAGGGAGGUAGGAGGAAGAGAGCGAGCCGAGGGGAGGACGGCGGCCGAGAGCGUCGCCGGUGCCCAACGGUCGGUCCCCCGGCUGAGGCAGCGCGGCCGCAGCAGCCCUGUAAGUCAGCCCGCGCUCGCUCCGUGUCGUCCGUGGGCGCCGCGGGGGCCGGCUCCGGGCUUUGUGUGGCGGCCUCCCCGGGAGCAGGCCUCGGGCGGGAACAGGCCGGGCCUGGGAGGGUGUCGGCGGCGGGCUGCGGCCUGGGCCCGGCUCGCACAAUGCCGCCGGGGGAGGGGAGCCGGAAGGGGGUGUGCGCUGGCGGGGGAGGGGGCGCAGCUCGCUGCUGCUUUCCCGCUUCCUUCCCGCGCCCUGCGCCUGCUUGCCUGCCUGCCUGUCUGCCUGCUGGCUGGCCGGCCCGGCCGGACCCGCUUCGGCGGCCUUAGUGACCAAAGCCGUAUGCCUUCCAGCCUCAGCCCUUGGGGUCCCGCAGUCUGGAAGAAGCACGGUGGAGCCAGGGAAACGUGCGAGUUGCUAGUGGGUGAAGCGGAAAGGAGUGGUUUUUAUAUGAAAAACGAGUGUGGGUGGGUGGGUGGCGGGGGUCGGGAGGGGGAUUGUUCCUCGAGCCCUGCGAGCGUCCAAGAAAGAAAACCUCGGCCGACGGACGCGGAUGUGAAAGGAAAUAGGGGCCGGGAUUCGACCUGUUCAGGUGCCUUACUAAGGAACGUGGUGGUUUUUGUUAGAGGAACAUCUUUCGGUGCUCCGAAGAGUGUGUAA
rnacentral:lncRNA from 1 species